rnacentral:tRNA from 1 species
GCCCGUCUGCUGGAACUGGUAGACAACACGGUGUCAGACGCCGUGGCCCCCCGGGCGUCCGGGUUCGACCCCCGGGGCGGGCACCA